rnacentral:rRNA from 1 species
AUUGAACGCUGGCGGCAGGCCUAACACAUGCAAGUCGAGCGGAUGACAGGAGCUUGCUCCUGGAUUCAGCGGCGGACGGGUGAGUAAUGCCUAGGAAUCUGCCUGGUAGUGGGGGACAACGUUUCGAAAGGAACGCUAAUACCGCAUACGUCCUACGGGAGAAAGCAGGGGACCUUCGGGCCUUGCGCUAUCAGAUGAGCCUAGGUCGGAUUAGCUAGUUGGUGAGGUAAUGGCUCACCAAGGCGACGAUCCGUAACUGGUCUGAGAGGAUGAUCAGUCACACUGGAACUGAGACACGGUCCAGACUCCUACGGGAGGCAGCAGUGGGGAAUAUUGGACAAUGGGCGAAGGCCUGAUCCAGCCAUGCCGCGUGUGUGAAGAAGGUCUUCGGAUUGUAAAGCACUUUAAGUUGGGAGGAAGGGUUGUAGAUUAAUACUCUGCAAUUUUGACGUUACCGACAGAAUAAGCACCGGCUAACUCUGUGCCAGCCGCCGCAGUAAAAC